CUCCCGGUGAGGGAUUUGGACAGCAGGACAGCACCUCGCACUUCAGAAUGACCUUUGCCCUGCCCGUGAAGGAGCUGACGGUGGCCCUGGAGAAGAUCGGGGAAUUCCACCGGCGGUUCACGGCCGAGUUCUCCUGAGCAUCAUGAGCUGGGACAGGUGUAGACGUCACCAACAGCCAGUCCUGGUCCAACCGUGUGCAUACCAUAGCCAACAAAGCACCCCAGCGCCUUUACUAAGGCUAAGGAAAUUUGGCAUGUCCCCGAUGACCCUCACCAACUUUUACCGAUGCACCUUAGAAAGCAUCCUAUCUGGAUGUAUCACGGCUUGGUACGGCAACUGCUCUGCCCAGGACCGCAAGAAACCACAGAGAGUUGUGGACACAGCCCAGCGCAUCACGGACACCAGC